CCUACGGGUGGCAGCAGUGAGGAAUAUUGGUCAAUGGGCGAAAGCCUGACGCAGCGACGCCGCGUGGAGGAAGAAGGCCUUCGGGUCGUAAACUCCUGUCAAGAGGGACGAAUCCCCAACGGAUGAAUAAGCCGCUGGGUUGACGGUACCUCUGAAGGAAGCCCCGGCUAACUCCGUGCCAGCAGCCGCGGUAAUACGGAGGGGGCAAGCGUUGUUCGGAAUUAUUGGGCGUAAAGGGCACGUAGGCGGUCAAGCAAGUUGGUGGUGAAAGCCCUCGGCUCAACCGGGGAAUUGCCCCCAAAACUGCUUGACUUGAGUCCCGGAGAGGGUGGCGGAAUUCCCAGUGUAGCGGUGAAAUGCGUAGAUAUUGGGAGGAACACCAUUGGCGAAGGCGGCCACCUGGACGGGUACUGACGCUGAGGUGCGAAAGCGUGGGGAGC
rnacentral:rRNA from 1 species